GUGGGGAAUUUUGGACAAUGGGCGCAAGCCUGAUCCAGUCAUUCCGCGUGCAGGAUGAAGGCCUUCGGGUUGUAAACUGCUUUUGUACGGAACGAAAAGCCUCUGGUUAAUACCCGGGGGUCAUGACGGUACCGUAAGAAUAAGCACCGGCUAACUACGUGCCAGCAGCCGCGGUAAUACGUAGGGUGCGAGCGUUAAUCGGAAUUACUGGGCGUAAAGCGUGCGCAGGCGGUGAUGUAAGACAGUUGUGAAAUCCCCGGGCUCAACCUGGGAACUGCAUCUGUGACUGCAUUGCUGGAGUGCGGCAGAGGGGGAUGGAAUUCCGCGUGUAGCAGUGAAAUGCGUAGAUAUAACACAGAACACCGAUUGCGAAGGCAGCUUACUGGAAUGCAACUGACGCUCAUGCACGAAAGCGUGGGGAUCAAACAGGAUUAGAUACCCCGGUAGUCC
rnacentral:rRNA from 1 species